AGAGUUUGAUCCUGGCUCAGGAUGAACGCUGGCGGCAUGCCUAAUACAUGCAAGUCGAACGAAGUGAAGAUAGCUUGCUAUUGGAACUUAGUGGCGAACGGGUGAGUAACACGUAGAUAACCUGCCUGUAUGACCGGGAUAACAGUUGGAAACGACUGCUAAUACCGGAUAGGCAGAGAGGAGGCAUCUCUUCUCUGUUAAAGUUGGGACACAACGCAAACAGAUGGAUCUGCGGUGCAUUAGCUAGUUGGUGAGGUAACGGCCCACCAAGGCGAUGAUGCAUAGCCGGCCUGAGAGGGCGAACGGCCACAUUGGGACUGAGACACGGCCCAAACUCCUACGGGAGGCAGCAGUAGGGAAUUUUCGGCAAUGGGGGAAACCCUGACCGAGCAAUGCCGCGUGAGUGAAGACGGCCUUCGGGUUGUAAAGCUCUGUUGUAAGGGAAGAACGGCAUAGAGAGGGAAUGCUCUAUGAGUGACGGUACCUUACCAGAAAGCCACGGCUAACUACGUGCCAGCAGCCGCGGUAAUACGUAGGUGGCAAGCGUUAUCCGGAAUUAUUGGGCGUAAAGGGUGCGUAGGCGGCGAGAUAAGUCUGAGGUAAAAGCCCGUGGCUCAACCACGGUAAGCCUUGGAAACUGUCUGGCUGGAGUGCAGGAGAGGACAAUGGAAUUCCAUGUGUAGCGGUAAAAUGCGUAGAUAUAUGGAGGAACACCAGUGGCGAAGGCGGUUGUCUGGCCUGUAACUGACGCUGAAGCACGAAAGCGUGGGGAGCAAAUAGGAUUAGAUACCCUAGUAGUCCACGCCGUAAACGAUGAGAACUAAGUGUUGGGGAAACUCAGUGCUGCAGUUAACGCAAUAAGUUCUCCGCCUGGGGAGUAUGCACGCAAGUGUGAAACUCAAAGGAAUUGACGGGGGCCCGCACAAGCGGUGGAGUAUGUGGUUUAA
rnacentral:rRNA from 1 species